rnacentral:rRNA from 1 species
GGCGGCGUGCUUAACACAUGCAAGUCGAACGGAAAGGCCCUUCGGGGUGCUCGAGUGGCGAACGGGUGAGUAACACGUGGGUGAUCUGCCCUGCACUUUGGGAUAAGCCUGGGAAACUGGGUCUAAUACCGAAUAGGACUCCGGCCUUCAUGGGUUGGGGUGGAAAGCUUUUGCGGUGUGGGAUGGGCCCGCGGCCUAUCAGCUUGUUGGUGGGGUAAUGGCCUACCAAGGCGACGACGGGUAGCCGGCCUGAGAGGGUGACCGGCCACACUGGGACUGAGAUACGGCCCAGACUCCUACGGGAGGCAGCAGUGGGGAAUAUUGCACAAUGGGCGCAAGCCUGAUGCAGCCGACGCCGCGUGAGGGAUGACGGCCUUCGGGUUGUAAACCUCUUUCAGCACAGACGAAGCGCAAGUGACGGUAUGUGCAGAAGAAGGACCGGCCAACUACGUGCCAGCAGCCGCGGUAAUACGUAGGGUCCGAGCGUUGUCCGGAAUUACUGGGCGUAAAGAGCUCGUAGGUGGUUUGUCGCGUUGUUCGUGAAAACUCACAGCUUAACUGUGGGCGUGCGGGCGAUACGGGCAGACUGGAGUACUGCAGGGGAGACUGGAAUUCCUGGUGUUGCGGUGGAAUGCGCAGAUAUCAGGAGGAACACCGGUGGCGAAGGCGGGUCUCUGGGCAGUAACUGACGCUGAGGAGCGAAAGCGUGGGGAGCGAACAGGAUUAGAUACCCUGGUAGUCCACGCCGUAAACGGUGGGUACUAGGUGUGGGUUUCCUUCCUUGGGAUCCGUGCCGUAGCUAACGCAUUAAGUACCCCGCCUGGGGAGUACGGCCGCAAGGCUAAAACUCAAAGGAAUUGACGGGGGCCCGCACAAGCGGCGGAGCAUGUGGAUUAAUUCGAUGCAACGCGAAGAACCUUACCUGGGUUUGACAUGCUCAGGACGCCAGUAGAGAUAUUGGUUCCCUUGUGGCCUGUGUGCAGGUGGUGCAUGGCUGUCGUCAGCUCGUGUCGUGAGAUUGGGUUAAGUCCCGCAACGAGCGCAACCCUUGUCCUAUGUUGCCAGCGGGUUAUGCCGGGGACUCGUAGGAGACUGCCGGGGUCAACUCGGAGGAAGGUGGGGAUGACGUCAAGUCAUCAUGCCCCUUAUGUCCAGGGCUUCACACAUGCUACAAUGGCCGGUACAAAGGGCUGCGAUGCCGUGAGGUGGAGCGAAUCCUUGUAAAGCCGGUCUCAGUUCGGAUCGGGGUCUGCAACCCGACCCCGUGAAGUCGGAGUCGCUAGUAAUCGCAGAUCAGCAACGCUGCGGUGAAUACGUUCCCGGGCCUUGUACACACCGCCCGUCACGUCAUGAAAGUCGGUAACACCGAAGCCGGUGGCCUAACCCCUUGUGGGAGGGAGCCGUCGAAGGUGGGUCGG